rnacentral:rRNA from 1 species
AUUGAACGCUGGCGGCAGGCCUAACACAUGCAAGUCGAGCGAGCGGCGGACGGGUGAGUAAUGUCUGGGAAACUGCCUGAUGGAGGGGGAUAACUACUGGACACGGUCGCGAAUAACGCAUACCAUCAGAUGUGCCCAGAUGGGGUUAGCUAGUAGGGGGGGUAACGGCUCACAAAGGCGGCGAUCCCUAGCUCGUCUGAGAGGGUGACCAGCCACACUGGAACUGAGACACGGUCCAGAAUCCUGCGGGAGGCAGCAGUGGGGAGUAUUGCACAAUGGGCGCAAGCCUGAUGCAGCCAUGCCGCGUGUGUGAAGAAGGCCUUCGGGUUGUAAAGCACUUUCAGCUGGGAGGCGUUACCCGCAGAAGAAGCACCGGCUAACUCCGUGCCAGCCGCCGCGGUAAUUC